rnacentral:pre_miRNA from 1 species
ACCUGCCACCAGCAGCGCAGAAGUAAGGGUGGCAUGGUAUGGUAUUGCCACCCUUACUUCUGUGCUGCUGCUGGCAGGC